rnacentral:rRNA from 1 species
AGUGAACGCUGGCGGUAGGCCUAACACAUGCAAGUCGAACGGCAGCACAGUAAGAGCUUGCUCUUACGGGUGGCGAGUGGCGGACGGGUGAGGAAUACAUCGGAAUCUACUUUUUCGUGGGGGAUAACGUAGGGAAACUUACGCUAAUACCGCAUACGACCUACGGGUGAAAGCAGGGGAUCUUCGGACCUUGCGCGAUUGAAUGAGCCGAUGUCGGAUUAGCUAGUUGGCGGGGUAAAGGCCCACCAAGGCGACGAUCCGUAGCUGGUCUGAGAGGAUGAUCAGCCACACUGGAACUGAGACACGGUCCAGACUCCUACGGGAGGCAGCAGUGGGGAAUAUUGGACAAUGGGCGCAAGCUGAUCCAGCCAUACCGCGUGGGUGAAGAAGGCCUUCGGGUUGUAAAGCCCCUUUGUUGGGAAAGAAAAGCAGCAGGUUAAUACCCCGCUGUUCUGACGGUACCCAAAGAAUAAGCACCGGCUAACUUCGUG